rnacentral:rRNA from 1 species
UACGUAUGGAGCAAGCGUUAUCCGGAUUUACUGGGUGUAAAGGGUGCGUAGGUGGCGGUGCAAGUCAGAUGUGAAAGGCCGGGGCUCAACCCCGGAGCUGCAUUUGAAACUGCAUAGCUGGAGUACAGGAGAGGCAGGCGGAAUUCCUAGUGUAGCGGUGAAAUGCGUAGAUAUUAGGAGGAACACCAGUGGCGAAGGCGGCCUGCUGGACUGUUACUGACACUGAGGCACGAAAGCGUGGGGAGCAAACAGG